rnacentral:tRNA from 1 species
AGGGGAGUCGCCAAGUGGUAAGGCAUCGGAUUUUGAUUCCGACAUUCGCAGGUUCGAUCCCUGCUUCCCCUGCCA